ACUUUCAGCGACGGAUGUCUUGGCUCCCACUACGAUGAAGAACGCAGCGAAAUGCGAUACGUCUUGCGACUUGCAGAAUCAAUCCAGUGAAUCAUCAAAACUUUGAACGCACCUUGCGCUUCCGGGAAAUCCCUGGGAGCAUGCUUGUCGGAGUGUC
rnacentral:rRNA from 1 species